ensembl:lncRNA
UGUGUGGACGGUGUGUAAAGGUGCAUGGACGGUGUGUAAAGGUGCGUGGACGGUGUGUAAAGGUGCGUGGACGGUGUGUAAAGGUGCGUGGACGGUGCGUGGACGGUGUGUAAAGGUGCGUGGACGGUGUGUAAAGGUGCGUGGACGGUGUGUAAAGGUGCGUGGACGGUGUGUGGACGGUGUGUAAAGGUGCGUGGACGGUGUGUGGACGGUGUGUAAAGGUGUGUGGAUGGUGUGUAAAGGUGCGUGGACGGUGUGUGGACGGUGUGUAAAGGUGCGUGGACGGUGUGUAAAGUGUGCAGGUGUGUAAAUGUGUAUAAAGGUGUGUAGAAGGUGUGUACAUGAGAGGAUGUAUGGGUCACGGGUCUCUUGGCUAACAGUGAGACGGUGGUGUAUAAAUAGCAGCAUGGGAGCGAGAGGUGAGCUAACAGCAUUUUGAGUCUGCAGGAAGAAGAGAGUGAUGCAAUUAGAGGAAAUGAUGAGGCAAAAGACGAGAGAAAACGGAAAGAGCAAUGCUGCUACAGCUCCCGAUCAGAUGGGAUGAAGAGGAAUAAAAUACGAGACGGCAGAUCAUUAGCGGAUCAUCAUCCAGCAGUUAAUGACGCAAUCAGGUUUAAUAACAAUCACAUAGCCAAAUAAGGAGGAAGCCUGCCGUGAACAUCUACACAACAGAAGAGUGAACAACACCUACACAACAGGAGAGUGAACAACAUCUACACAACAGAAGAAAGAGUAACAUCUACACAACAGGAGAAUGGACAACAUCUACACAACAGAAGAGUGACAACAUCUACACAACAGAAGAGUGAACAACAUCUACACAACAGAAGAGGGAACAACUACACAACAGAAGAGUGGACACAUCUACACAACAGAAGAGUGGACAACAUCUACACAACAGGAGAGUUGAACAACUACACAACAGGAGAGUGAAUAACAUCUACACAACAGGAGAGUGAACAACAUCUACACAACAGGAGAGUGAACAACAUCUACACAACAGAGA